AAAUAUGACAUCCAAAGACUGAAAUGCACAAAUCUUACAAGCACUGUGAAGUGAAGGGGUAUUCAUUCAGCCAUUAAACGGACUCAGAGUGAUGAAGCUGAAGUUGCGGCUUUCCUUGCUGUUGUUACAUGUGAUCCAUUAUAUCCAGUCCUCCAGUCCUCCCGGACAAUGGACAGCAAAAAUACCUGCAAAGAUUCCGGCCCUGCAGGGCUCCUGUGUGGUUAUUCCCUGCACCUACACUUACCCCAGGCGCACCUCAAAGAAGAUCCUGAACAGUUGGAGGGGAUUCUGGAAGAAAGGAAAUAAGAUCAUCUCCACCAAUCUCCCCAAAUGGAAACUGCCUGGGGAGUACAAAAAACGAACCCAGUUUUUGGGAAAACUCAGAGCACGCAACUGCACCAUGCUGCUGGAUGGUGUGAGGACGACAGAUGUCGGCCCUUUCUACUUCAGGAUUGAAAUGCCGCAAUACAAAAGCUUCUCCUACAUAAACAACUCAGUGACCAUAGAUGUCAUAAGUAACCCAGUGCCUCCAACUCUGUCUGUGGAGAUGAACGAUAAAGUAACUGCCUCCUGCUUUGUGCACCACUCUUGCCCAUAUAUUCCUCCUAAAUUCUCCUGGAGCCACUCUGGAAUUGUCAUGCUACGUUCAAAGAGGCUGACUAACUGGAAGUGGAAAAUCGUGUCAACCCUGACCUUUAACCUUCUAUUCGUUGACCUCAACACGCCUUUAAACUGCACAGUGCACUACAGAGGGGGGAAGAAGGCAGAGAGCUCCACCAUUCUCACAAUAUGAUGCGAGCCCAGUGCAGGCACUGAAUAUCAUUUUUCACUCUGAAUGGGCAACAGGAAAAAGCAGAGACCAUCUGUCAGAGAAGACCACAAACCUGUAGAAGAAGAAGAGAUGUGAAGACAGGAAUUCCUUCAUUCGGUUGAUGCCUACAGCUGCUGAGGUCAUGUGAUGAGUCUCCAGAGACCCUCUUCAUGUUGUGUCAAGAAGUCCUCCAGUUUGACUGUGUCCUCUUUUUGGCGCCCCCAGGACAGUUUCCUGGGAGUAGGAGUAUUGAAGCCAGCGGAUGCCGAGUUACCCAUGACAGGAAAUGUGCUUGAAUUGGAGUUUUGGGAUAUGCGAUGAGCAAAUCUGUGAAUCAAAAAAUUAAAUGCACCAAAUGAAUGUCUGUUUGUAAUUACACAUUAACUUUACACAUAAACUGCAGAAUGCACACACGUAGUUUCUUACCUGGUUACAGGUCACAGUGAUGUCCCUCUAAUGCUGCUGGUUCAUCUGCUGAAGUUCAAAGUUGCACAUUAAAUGAAAAGUGGUCAUCUCCUCUUUUUUAAAGAGUCCUGCAGGGUAGACUCAAGGCCUGACCUUGUCUCUCAUCAAAGAAACACUUGAUUGGAUCUCUCUGGAUGAGAUUAAACAGGAACAGUAUAAGAUCCAUUGAUCAACUACCGCUGAUCAAUGGAUCAAUCAGUUUAUAUUAAUCAGUCAGUUAAUCAAUCGCUGGGAACUUCCUUCAAUCACAAACACACAAUAAAACUAUUUAUAGAUGUUAUCAUGUUAAAAGUUGUAAUUGUAAACGUAGGUAUUCAUCAUCUGUGUUUCAGUUUGAUUAAUUUUGUUUCAGGUUUCAUCUCUGUGAUGUACUAAGUAUAAAGAAUACAUUUUGUACAAA